rnacentral:lncRNA from 1 species
AUUUACCAUUUAUGUGAGUGAGGAUAAUGGUAAAAACUGGAGAAGAAUUGCAGACUCUGUUCAAGUUUUUAAAUGGUAAGUAUGAUUCAAAACCACAUAUGUGAUGUAAAAGGAGGCUCAGUGCAAAUGGAAAAGCCAUUGUUUGAAGGGUUGAUUUUGUUUUAAAUGACCAUCAUCUAAAUAGAAUUGGGAAAUUUUCUUUAAAAUAAAAAAAUGAACACACAGCACAUGUACAUCAAAAGUCUUAAUAGUUAUAACGUUGCCACAAGUCUGAAAACUAUAACACUGGACAAUAGGAAUAUAAGUGAAUGAAAAUCAUUAUGAAGCUGUAUUCCAUACAUGUAAGUGUACAAGGAAAUUUAUUAUAACAAAAAAACAGUGUUUUAUUGCCAAUUUUUGUUAGAUUAUACUAAGAUAGGUAAUAAGAUAUGAUAAGAGGAUAGUAUUUUACUUUCCUGACAAUAAUAUUUCCAACAUUUCAGGGGUUUCAAUUCAAAAGUGGAUACAGAUCAGACUAUAUAUGCAGCAAUUGAUUCAGCUAAUACUCAUCCAUUCUUUGCCACAUGUAAGUUUUUGUAUGUCAUACCAAUGGAGAGGUAUUUUGGGCUAUUUCUCUUAUACAGGUAUUUCAUCUUAAUGUCAACAUUACAUGAGUUUUCAAUUUUCCCAAACUGUAAUAUAGGAUGACUGCCAUUGCCUCUGAUUUUCUGAAUGUUAUCUUAAAUCUUAAAAUUUGGGCCAAAUUAGAAAACAAACUCUUUAUAUGGUCUCCUUUCAUCUCGUCCCUUUAUUGACUCACUGAUGAUGACUACUUUAUUAUCUGACCGUUUGAGAUAGUAUCAUCUUUCCUGAAAUAUUCUACUAGCAAAAAUUGAACCAAAAAAAAGAAGGAAGCAUAGGGUUCCUAUGUUAAGGUACUUUUAGAUUGGAAUAGGAGUUUGAGUAGUUUCUGAAAGAGUUUUGUUCUUGAAAAUCCAGAAAAUGAUGAAAAUCCCCUUCAAACCCUAUAUAUUUAAAUUUAGAUUCAACUGGAGGUUCAUCUUUUUGUUAAAAAAAAUUGAGUUGGUCCUCAUGUGCAAAAAGCAUUUUUAUACGACCGCAAAAUUUGAAAAAUUUUUCGUCGUAUAUUGCUAUCACGGUUGCGUCGGCGUCGGGUCGUCGUCGUCGUCGUCGUCGUCGUCGUCGUCUCCGAAUACUUUUAGUUUUCGCACUCUUACUUAGUAAAAUGAAUGGAAAUCUAUGAAAUUUUUAACACAAGGUUUAUGACCACAAAAGGAAGGUUGGUAUUGAUUUUGGAGUUUUGGUCCCAACAUUUAGGAAUUAGGGGCCAAAAAAGGGCCCAAAUAAGCAUUUUCUUGGUUUCGCACUAUAACUUUAGUUUAAGUUAAUAGAAAUCUAUGAAAUUUUGACACCAAGGUUUAUGACCACAAAGAAGGUUGUAUGAUUUUGGGAGUUAAGUCCCCAGUUUAGGAAUUAGGGGCCAAAAGGGACCCAAAUAAGCAUUUUUUCUUGGUUUUCGCACCAUAACGUUAGUAUAAGUAAAAGAAAUCUAUGAAAUUUAAACACAAGGUUUAUGACCAUAAAGGAAGGUUGGUAUUGUUUUGGGAGUUUUGGUCCCAACAGAAUAAGGGCCCAAAGUCCAAAAUUAAACUUUGUUGAUUUCAUCAAAAUUGAAUAAUUGGGGUUCUUGUAUGCCGAAUCUAACUGUCAUGACUGGGUAUGUAGAUUUCUUAACUUUUUGGUCCCGUUUUCAAAUUGGUCUACUAAGGUCAAGGGUCCAAAUUAAACUUAGUUUGAUUUUGACAAAAAUGAAUCAGUUAGGUUUCUUUGAUAUGCUGAAUCUAAAAUGUACUUAGAUUUGGAUUAUUGGCCCAGUUUUCAAGUUGGUCCAAAUCGGGGUCCAAAAUUAAAUUUUUUGAUUUCAUCAAAAAAUUUAAUAAAUGGGGUUCUUUGAUAUACCAAAUCUAACUGUGUAUGUAGAUUCUUCAUUUUUGGUCCUGUUUCAAAUUGGUCUACACUAAAGUCCAAAGGGUCCAAAAUUAAACUUAGUCUGAUUUCAACAAAAAUUGAAAUCUUGGGGUUCUUUGAUAUGCUGAAUCCAAAAAUGUACUUAGUUUUUUAUUAUGGGCCCAGUUUUCAAGUUGGUCCAAAUCAGGAUCUAAAAUUAUUAUAUUAAGUAUUGUGCAAUAGCAAGUCUUUUCAAUUGCACAGUAUUGCGCAAUGGCAAGAAAUAUCUAAUUGCACAAUAUUGUGAAAUAGCAAAUUUUUUUUUAAUUAGAGUUAUCUUUCUUUGUCCAGAAUAGCAAGCAAGAAAUAUCUAAUUGCAAAAUAUUGUGCAAUAGCAAGAUUUUUUUUUAAUUGGAGUUAUCUUUCUUUGUCCAGAAUCAACUUAAAUCUUUGUUAUAUACAAUAUACAAUGUAUAUUCACUUUUUACUACCAACUGAUAAAUUAAAAUAAUCUUUACCAUUCAGUGAUAACAAGCAGUUUUUUUACAUCUUAAUAUUUUAUGAUGUAUUUAAAUGAGUAGUUAUUGUUGCAAACUCCAUUAGAAAUUUUAAUUGAGAUUAGUUUUGGAAUAAGGGAAAGGGGAUGUGAUUAAAAAAAUUGGGAUCAAUUUUUCUCAUUUGAAAUUUCAUAAAUAAAAAGAAAAUUUCUUCAACAUUUUUUUGAGAGGAUUAAUAUUCAACAGCAUAGUGAAUUGCUCUAAGAGAAAACAAAAAUUUUAAGUUCAUUAGAACACAUUCAUUCUGUGUCAGAAACCUAUGCUGUGUCAACUAUUUAAUCACAAUCCAAAUUUAGAGCUGAAUCCAGCUUGAAUGUUGUGUCCAUACUUGCCCCAACCGUUCAGGGUUCAACCUCUGCGGUCGUAUAAAGCUACGCCCUGCGGAGCAUCUGGUUUCAUUUAUUUUUUUUUUACUUGAAAGAAUUUGAAAUUUAGCUGGUUUUUUUUUUCUUCGAUUGUUUACUUUAACUGGACCUGCAACCCGAAAUAGUUGUUUCCUAUGUGUAUUUAAAUAAUAAACACAAUCAGUAGUUAUAUGCCCUUUGGUUUACACUAUUUGUAAAAGUAUUUGGCCACCCCUCAAAAAAAACUUAUGUUUAAUUUUCGAAGUUCAUAUAUGAGCUUAAAAUGAACAUUAAAACUGAGAAACAUGACAAUAUUCACUGGGGUAAAGCUGAUGACCGUAACUGCAUUCACGGUCAUCCCAAGAUGUCGGAUGAAAAAUUAGGUCAGUAUCUGUAUUGUCUGUUACAGUGUUUCUAUAUCAUUUUCUUUACAAAGUAUAUAUUGAUACGAUGUAAAUUUAUAAAAGAUUCACACAGAAAUCACAAAUUACUACCGAAAAAUGUUCAGGAAACGCGAAAAUUCAAUUUGAAAAAAUCGCUAAGAUGUCCGUAAAUCAUUAUUAAAAUAUUUUCAAGAUGACCGUAACAUAAAACAAGGAUGACCGUGAUUGAUAAACAGAUGACCGUGAUUGGUAAACAGAUGACCGUAACUUGUAAAAGAUGACCAAAAUUUGUAAAGAAUGACUGUAACUUAUAAAGGAUGAUCGUAACUUUUAAAUGAUGAACCUCAAUUCUAAGAAUAUCCGUAUUUGUAUUCAUAGCUUUUUAAAGCCCAGUUAAAAUGGGAAAAAACUGUAAUUUGGCAUUAUGAUUAGAAAGAUCAUAUCAUAGAAAACAUGUGUACUAAGUUUCAAGUUGAUUGGACUUCAACGUCAUCAAAAACCUCCUCAACCAAAAACUUUAAACUGGGGUGGGACAGACGGACGAACUAGCAGACAAAGGGACGAACAAACGAACGGACGCACAGACCAAAAAACAUAUACCCAUGAGUGGAGCAUAAAAAACACUAAUCAAACAUAUGAAUAUCCGGUAAUCGAGCCUGUGUGUAUGGUUCCAGUGGAGGCAGAUUAAAAUCUUAGUUUGUAUUGAUAUAUAUAUAACAUUGCUGUAUAUACAAAUUGACAAGGUUCUCCUCAGUGGUGGAUCCAAGGGGGGUCCGGGGGUUGGAACCCCCUUUUUAUUAACGGAUCAUUGCAUUUGAAUGGGAACACAUAGUUUGAACCCCCUUUACCCUGGGUUUGGACCCCCCCCCCCUUUUUUUUGAAAAUGGCUUAAUCCACCCCUGCCCCUUGUGAUACGCUAUACGCACAAGACUAUUUUAAGGAUCUAUUUUGCUGGAGCUCGCCUUCACUAGUUUGGUCGUAGUAUUUUAAAAACAUGUUCUGUUAUUUUACUUGCAAGACAAAAUAGAAGGCAAAUCAAAGACGAUAUAAUAUCAAUGGUGUACAUCCAUUGGCAUUUUUUUAAAAGUGCAUUUAUUAUAUGUCAUUACAAGGAAUUCAAGAAAUUAAAAAAAAAACUUUUGGCUUUUAAUUGGAGGCUGUGCAGCACACUUUUUUUUAUUAUACUUGUAAGGCGUCAUUUAAUCGCGCUUUUGUUGCAUGUUUUCCUCACUUUUGCAUGUGCAUGUGCAUGUCCUGUUGUAUGUUCAUUUUAAAAAUUAUACCCUCACCCUUGUUAUGAAUUGCUGAUUCUGUUAUGGUCAUCUCGAUUGUGAUUAUUACGGUCAUCUCUUGCGAUUUUUUUAUAUCGAAUUUCCUGUUUCAUACAUUUCUCGGAAGUAAUUUGUGAUUUCCGUGUGAAUCUUUUCUAAAUUUACAUUGUAUCAAUGUAUACUUUGUAAAGAAAAUGAUAUAGAAACACUGUAACAGACAAUACAGAUACUGACCUAUUUUUUUCAUCUGACAUCUUGGGAUGACCGUGAAUGCAGUUACAGUCAUCAGCUUUACCCCAGUGAAUAUUUAGUGUUUAAUUGAGGAAACAUGCAUACACUUUGAAAUAAAUGGCAUUACGUUGACCUCCAAAUGUAUGGAAAGCCAUUUGAAACAAAUAACAGUGCUUUGGGCAUGACUGUAAUAUUUAGGCCCCUGUAUGGUAAUGGUUAAGAAAUAUAAGCAAGCAACAAUCAAUCAAUCAAAUAAUUAUACCCCUGCUUUGAAAAAGGGGGGUUUACUGUUUUACCUCUGUCUGUCCUUCCAUCAGUCCGUCUGUCCCAUUAAUAUUUUUGUCAAAUUUUUCUCAGGAACUACAAUACAAGGAUUUCUGAAAUUUGGUUUCAGGGUUUAUAUAAGUUAGCUAUACUGUUUAGGAAUUAGGGGUCCAAAACAAGCAUUUUUCUACUUUCAGGAUAAUAACUUGUGUAUAAGUAUUUCAAUUGCUCUGAAAUUGUUCCACAAUGAUUAAUAUCUCAAGUAGAAGGUUUGGAUUGAUAUUGGGGGUUAAUGUGCCAACAGUUUAGGAAUUAAGGGCUGAAAAGGGGCCAAAAACAAGCAUUUUUGUAGUUUCUGGACAUUCUUGUAUAUAAGAGUAUGGAUCUAUCUGACAAAAGGAAGGCUGGUAUUGAGUUUUGGGGUUAUUGCCCCAUUUAUGAAGGAAUUAGGGGCCAAAAAGUGCCAAAAACGAGCAUAUUGUUAGUUUCCAGAUAAUAACUUGUAUUUAAGUGUAUGGAUCUUUCUGAAAUUGUACUACAAGGCUGCGCUCAGCUAAGCGUUUCAUAUUUUUUUUAUUGAAACUAAUAUAAUGAAAAUGUGUCACAAUUAAAGCACAGGCCUCUUAAUCAUGUAAUGGUUAAUAGAGAUCCAUUGUGAGGUUUUUGAAAGAUCUGUUAUGAAACAAGUAAUUAUUUGUUUUUGCAUCAUUAUGCAAUGAUUUUUCUUUACAUUGUAGUUUUUGUAAUCAAGUAUGAUUUAAAGAAGUCGACUGACCUUGGCAAAAGUUGGACAAUUUUAAUGAAAGAUGUGAUAUCAUUUGGACACCAAGACAAGUUUCUUUAUGUAGCUGUACCAGAAAAAGCAGGGGUACUUAAUGAAGUUUCAUGUUCUUAGAUUUAAAGUGGUCCACAAUAAACCAAAUAGUUCUGUUGAUAGACAAAUCAUUCUCAGUUGCAGACUUGACUCUCAUGUACAAGUAGAUGUCUUGACUGUUUUUCAUGGAUAUAUUGUGAGAUAGUCAAGUGUCAACUGAUGUGAAAACAUAUUAAUGUUGCAUAUUUUAGAAAAAAAGACUUACUUAACAUAAAGAUGUCAAAAUUUUGUUAUUUGUAUUUAUUUUUCUAUUUUUAUAUUAAUGCUCUACAAAUCUCUUUUUGUCAUUACAAGUAGGGCAUUUGACACAUUUGUUCACAACCCAUGUUGCAAGCUUGUAAAUUUUAUAUGACAGACCAGUCUUUCAUUCUGUAAAUCAAUCGAUAGGCUUUGAGGCUCUAAAUUCUUUAGGAAUACCUUGGGAAAACUAGAAGCUUGCACAGAUAGCUUAAUUGGUUUAGAUGGCUCAUUUCUGUAAUAUAUAAUUCUUUCUAAUGUACUUAAAAUCAUAUAAUGAAAAUGGAUUUUAAAGCUUAACCUAAAAAUAGAAAAUUAAUAUCCCAAAUAACUGACAUUUUCAUUUUUUACAGAGUUCUCAAAGAAAAAUGUUGGUAUCAACAGAUGGUGGAGCAACAUGGGAUAGAACGUACUUACCAACUAUGAAUGGAGAAAGGGUAAGAAUGAUUAUAUUAACCAGAGGCCAAAACACUGAGCUCUACAGUAAUCAGAUUGUCUGUCUAAUUGUCUGUCAGUUGUUACAAUAUCAUUCUAUGGAAUAGUAAUUGUUGGCAGGACCUUUAUAGGAUAUUUGAUUACAGCGAUUUCAAUGAGUGUGUAGGCAAAGGUAAUAUCUUUGGAUAGCUUGCUUGCUAGCUGAACCGUGAAGUCUUUCUUAGGUUAAGUAAACAACCCUCCUUUAAGAGUAGCCUAGUCCCACAGAUAACCAAUCUAUUUGUCUGUAGGACUAGGAUAAUUUGAAAGGAGAAUAGUACACCUUACCUAACAAAGACUUCACAGUUCAGCUAGCAGGCAAGCUAACCAAAGACGUUACCUUUAGCUACACACUCAUUGAAAUCAGCUGUAAAAUAUUCGGAAAGGGAUGGUUAUCAAGUAUUUGUAAGGCUUAAAUUAAGUGUGUUAGGCUAUAUAAAACUUUCAGUAAUCAUAUAAAAAUAAAUCAUAGAAAUUGAUUUAAACACUUAAAAAGAUUACCUUGCAUUCAGCACAAGGAUCCAGAAAUUUUUUCAUCUCAUUUCGGUCAUUUUGAUACAACUUAAAAAGAUUGUCAAAAUCACAUUACUGCAUGAGUAUGCCAGGGACAGUAUAGAAAGUCCCUGAGUAUGCUCAUACUCGUCACAUCAACAAACUUGUUUAACUGUUGCAUCGCAUUAACUUCAUGAUUUUACCUACCAUUUUCCUACCAUUUUCCUAAAAAUCAAUCAAGAGCAAUUAAGGGAAGGCAACAGUUUAAAAAUAAAAUGAUUUUAAUGACUUAAAAGGAUAAUCUUAUCAGUCAUCGCUCACGUUUCUUUCAAUUUUGAAGUCAAAUUUCAUACCGGAUGUUUUACGACAAUACUAAAACGAACAAUUCCGGACUCAUUUCCGGGAUUAGUUAUGUUUAUCAAAUUCACAGGAAAUCAUCGGCUUUUUAAUUUUCUACCUUUGAUAGUGUUUGACUGUUAAUGAUAAUAGUUACACUUGCUUUAUUAAGCAUGCAAUCAUUUUAAAUUUAUCUUAUAAGUCUUAUCUGUGGAAGAGAAUUUCAAGCAUGCAUAUUACGAAGUAAACAAAGCAUGUGUGUUAGUAGUGAAAAAAUACUUUUUUUAAAUCAAGUUUUAAUUUAAUUUUACAGCUUUUAUAUUAAUGCUAGCAAAACAAACCUUUGUUUGGUUUGCUUGCUUUGUUUGUAACAAUGUUUGCUCAAGCAUGGCAAUUAAGAUAGCCGGGGCUUCAGCUUGUAUACAUCAUACUUAAAUUUUAUUGGACGUUAUGUUUGAGGUUAAGGACACCUAAUCACAUGACAAAUAUUCUCACAUGUUUCCUCACCUGUAAAAAUACAAUAAUUUGUCAAUGAAAGAAAAAUAUAAACUUUUUUUCUUGUAUGAGGCUGAGAAACUGGCCUUCAGCAUUGACCUAAUAUUGUUUUUUUAUAUAUCAUAUCAAUCUAUUAGUUCAGUCAGUUAUUUCCAUGUCUGCCCUUCUAUUAUGUAACUCAAGAAAAUAUUCAAAAAAUGGGAAAACAAUUGUAUCGAAAAGAGGAAAUCGAGUGUACAUUUUUUAUGUUAGGGUGUGUUUGAGAUGAAUAUUUUGUCUUGAAAACGUACAAAGUUAGAGUAUUUGAUACAUCAUCUCGCUUCAGAUUGUAUCAUUUUAAUAUAGUAAAGCUACAGGUUAACUUUAUAACAUAAAAAAAAUCACAGUACUAAAAGAUGAAAUAUAGGGAUGAAGUGAAAUACCUAUCCAAUGGAUCACAAAAUCAGAGUAGGUGUAUUCGAAUAGGUAUUUUACUAAAAGUGCUUGACGACAGUCUUUAAGUUGGAUAUUUGAAAAAAAAAUUGUCUUCCAUUUCUACGAUCAUUGUGAAAAUAAACUGGCGUAAUGGGGAGAUAAUUUCGACGAAGUAAAAUCCUGUCUGUAUUGUAUAUUUACAGGUAAGGAAACAUUUGAGAAUAUGAGUCAUGGGAUGUUAUAAAAUUUAGUGUCCUUAACCUCAAACAUAAUGUCCAAUAAAAUUUAAGUAUGAUGUAUACAAGCUGAAGCCCCGCCUAUCUUAAUUGCCAUGCUUGAGCAAACACUGAUACAAACAAAGCAAGCAAGCCAAACAAAGAUUUGUCUUGCUAGCAUUAAUGUAAAAGCUGUAAAUCAUAAUUGACAAUUGUUUUUGCUAAAAAGUAAUUGAAUAAUGAAGAUAGUUGUUAUGGAAUUUUGAUUUCUUUAUAAUAUUAGUUCUGAGCUAAUGAUUAAUAGCCAGGUGCUAAUUAAAAACACAGGUAAAGAGAUUAGCGAUCAUUAGCCAAUAGCUCCCUGAGGCAUUAAUAUAGUUAUUAGGAGGGCCCUCAGGAUUAUAACACUUUACUGGAGUGGCAGUUUAAUUACAGGAAAUCGAUAAAAAAAACAAAAAGAUGUUCAAAAUGGCGAUUUUGAAACUCGAUCUCAACGAAAUGACCGAAAUUAUUUCUGUUGAAAAAUAAAAUUUGUCCUAAAUCCCAAUUACUCGUUUAGGACAAAAUACUUUCAGUUUAGGACAAGACUGGCAAAUAUGACCAUUUCCGGACCCUUGAUUCAGCAUUUUCUUCAUUUUUAAUAAUUUGAGUUAUGAGGGGGGGUAGGAGGGGUCCUGAUCCCGAAAUCCCGGGCAUAAAAACACGAAAUCCCGAGGUCCCGAUUUAAAAAAAUCUAAAUCCCGAAGUCCCGAAAUCAGAAAAAAAGAAUUCCCGGAUCCCGAAAGGGUCAAUCCCGAAAUCCCGAGCUUAAAAACACCCGAUCCCGGAGUCCCGAUAAAGGUCCUAUCCCCCCUCAGUUAUGACAUCCUCACAUCAAAAAUCUUGUUUAAUUCAUUUAUAUUUCAUGAUAUUAUGGUUUCCAAACAUAAUGUGCAAAUUUGAAAUAGUUAUCAAAAACUUUAUUUUCUGGAGCCAAAAAUGGGUCACCAUGCUUCUUUGUAGAAAAUAACUAUUCAAAAAUACUGCCCGACUUUAACAAUAAAAUAAAAAAAAAAUUAGAAACAAGGGUAAAAAUCCUCUUUCUACUACAGGAAGCUAUCUAAACAUUUUAUUAUACCCCCUGCAAUCAAAGUUUUAUAGGAGUAUAUAGGUGACAGAUCUCACACUGUCUGUUAGUUUGUUUAUAUUCUUUGUAAGUGGAAUUACUUAAUAGCUAGACAUAUAUUGAGGAAAUUUACUCAUUUGCAGAACUUGUCCUUAGGAUUUGCAUGAAGGAAUAUAAUCCAAGUUCAAGGGGAAAUAAUCAAAUUUAACCAUACUUAUAAUAUUCCAGGCAAGGGUUCUCCUUGUGUGUGUUCACUUACAGUUCUAAUUCACCUUGUAAAUGCAUCAUCACUUAACAAUCUAAUAAACUUUAUUGAAAUGUUCUACAAAAUUAGAACACCCUAUAAAGAUGUGCAUGAAGAGAAAUAGUUAUGAUCAACCAUCUUGAUGAUGUACACUUUAAUCGUGUAAAGGAAGAUAAUUGGAAAGGCAUGUUUCAUUUUCUUAACUUUAUCACAUUGCUGGUAGAUAUUACUAGACAAAAGCUAAAGAAAAUAUUGGGAAGGACAAAAUAUGUUUUUGCUUACAUAUUUAAUAUAUGUAUUCCAAUUUUCUGUGUUUAACAUAAAUGAAGGAUUGAUUUUAAUUAUUUCAGUUUUUCUCAGUCUUGGAUAUGAAUGAGGGAUUGGUAUUUAUGCAUGUAGAUAAUCCAGGAGGUAUGUGUGUAUUACUGUCUGUUUUGAUAAGUGUAAUGCCAUAUAUUCCUAAUACAAUGUAUUCAUAAUUUGCUAAUGAUAUUUUAUUUCCGUUACUAGAUUAACUUUGCUCAACCAAAUGUUAUGAAACUUAUACACAAUACAUUUUACCACACCACUCAGAUCAAUUACAAAAUUUGAGAAGUGUCACUUUUACCAUUCUUCAGUGAUGUCCCUUUAUAACUUUUUAGGUUUUUGAUAAAAACUGUAGUGUAUACAACCUUUGAAGAAUGUAUCACACAACAGAUAUCAUAUUAAAUGACUGUUAAUAAAUUGAAUAGCAUUCAUUACAUGUUCAUUUAUUCAACACUGUUUUAGUUGCAUUAGUUUAAACAAGAAUAAGAAGUUCUGGGUGACUACAUGUUAUAAUUUGAUUACAGAUACUGGUCAUGGUACACUGUACACUUCAUCAGGGAAGGGAAUGUUAUAUUCAGAAUCAUUACAGAAACAUUUAUACCCUAACUAUGGAGAUUCUACUGAUUUUUUCCGAGUUCAGUCAAUGAGAGGAGUUUAUCUUGCCAGUCAGAUGAGAGAUGAUAAUAGUAUUCAUACAGUUAUAUCAUACAAUCUAGGAGGAACAUGGCACCCAGUUCCCAAACCUGAAGGGUCUACAUGUAAAGAUCUAAA